rnacentral:rRNA from 1 species
CUACGGGUUGCAGCAGUGAGGAAUAUUGCACAAUGGGGGGAACCCUGAUGCAGCAACGCCGCGUGGAGGAUGACGCAUUUCGGUGUGUAAACUCCUUUUAUAUGUCAAGAAAAUGACGGUAGCAUAUGAAUAAGCACCGGCUAACUCCGUGCCAGCAGCCGCGGUAAUACGGAGGGUGCAAGCGUUACUCGGAAUCACUGGGCGUAAAGGACGCGUAGGCGGGCUUGUAAGUCAGGUGUGAAAUACUACAGCUUAACUGUAGAACUGCACUUGAAACUACGAGCCUAGAGUAUGGGAGGGGGUGAUGGAAUUAGGGGUGUAGGGGUCAACUCCGUAGAUAUCACUAGGAAUACCUAAAGCGAAGGCGAUCUCCUGGAACAUUACUGACGCUAAGGCGUGAAAGCGUGGGGAGCAAACAGGAUUAGCUACCCUCGUAGUC